AGCUACAGGCUUAACACAUGCAAGUCGAGGGGCAUCAGGAAGAAAGCUUGCUUUCUUUGCUGGCGACCGGCGCACGGGUGAGUAACACGUAUCCAACCUGCCCUUUACUCGGGGAUAGCCUUUCGAAAGAAAGAUUAAUACCCGAUAGUAUAAUGAUUCCGCAUGGUUUCAUUAUUAAAGGAUUCCGGUAAAGGAUGGGGAUGCGUUCCAUUAGGUUGUUGGUGAGGUAACGGCUCACCAAGCCUUCGAUGGAUAGGGGUUCUGAGAGGAAGGUCCCCCACAUUGGAACUGAGACACGGUCCAAACUCCUACGGGAGGCAGCAGUGAGGAAUAUUGGUCAAUGGGCGCUAGCCUGAACCAGCCAAGUAGCGUGAAGGAUGAAGGCUCUAUGGGUCGUAAACUUCUUUUAUAUAAGAAUAAAGUGCAGUAUGUAUACUGUUUUGUAUGUAUUAUAUGAAUAAGGAUCGGCUAACUCCGUGCCAGCAGCCGCGGUAAUACGGAGGAUCCGAGCGUUAUCCGGAUUUAUUGGGUUUAAAGGGAGCGUAGGUGGACUGGUAAGUCAGUUGUGAAAGUUUGCGGCUCAACCGUAAAAUUGCAGUUGAUACUGUCAGUCUUGAGUACAGUAGAGGUGGGCGGAAUUCGUGGUGUAGCGGUGAAAUGCUUAGAUAUCACGAAGAACUCCGAUUGCGAAGGCAGCUCACUGGACUGCAACUGACACUGAUGCUCGAAAGUGUGGGUAUCAAACAGGAUUAGAUACCCUGGUAGUCCACACAGUAAACGAUGAAUACUCGCUGUUUGCGAUAUACAGUAAGCGGCCAAGCGAAAGCAUUAAGUAUUCCACCUGGGGAGUACGCCGGCAACGGUGAAACUCAAAGGAAUUGACGGGGGCCCGCACAAGCGGAGGAACAUGUGGUUUAAUUCGAUGAUACGCGAGGAACCUUACCCGGGCUUAAAUUGCAGUGGAAUGAUGUGGAAACAUGUCAGUGAGCAAUCACCGCUGUGAAGGUGCUGCAUGGUUGUCGUCAGCUCGUGCCGUGAGGUGUCGGCUUAAGUGCCAUAACGAGCGCAACCCUUAUCUUUAGUUACUAACAGGUUAUGCUGAGGACUCUAGAGAGACUGCCGUCGUAAGAUGUGAGGAAGGUGGGGAUGACGUCAAAUCAGCACGGCCCUUACGUCCGGGGCUACACACGUGUUACAAUGGGGGAUACAGAAGGCAGCUAGCGGGUGACCGUAUGCUAAUCCCAAAAGCCUCUCUCAGUUCGGAUCGAAGUCUGCAACCCGACUUCGUGAAGCUGGAUUCGCUAGUAAUCGCGCAUCAGCCACGGCGCGGUGAAUACGUUCCCGGGCCUUGUACACACCGCCCGUCAAGCCAUGGGAGCCGGGGGUACCUGAAGUACGUAACCGCAAGGAUCGUCCUAGGGUAAAACUGGUGACUGGGGCUAAGUCAUA
rnacentral:rRNA from 1 species